rnacentral:rRNA from 1 species
CAGUAGCCACGGGAAUACGUAGGUGGCAAGCGUUGUCCGGAAUUAUUGGGCGUAAAGGGCUCGCAGGCGGUUUCUUAAGUCUGAUGUGAAAUCCCCGGGCUCAACCUGGGAACUGCAUUUGUGACUGGCAAGCUAGAGUGUAGCAGAGGGGAGUGGAAUUCCGCGUGUAGCAGUGAAAUGCGUAGAUAUGCGGAGGAACACCGAUGGCGAAGGCAGCCCCCUGGGCCAACACUGACGCUCAUGCACGAAAGCGUGGGGAGCAAACAGGAUUAGAUACCCCUGUAGUCCCUGUCUCUUAUAC